rnacentral:rRNA from 1 species
UACGAAGGGGGCUAGCGUUGUUCGGAAUUACUGGGCGUAAAGCGCACGUAGGCGGAUUGCUAAGUCAGGGGUGAAAUCCCGGGGCUCAACCUCGGAACUGCCUUUGAUACUGACAAUCUCGAGUCCGGAAGAGGUGGGUGGAAUUCCUAGUGUAGAGGUGAAAUUCGUAGAUAUUCGCAAGAACACCAGUGGCGAAGGCGGCUCACUGGCCCGAUACUGACGCUGAGGCACGAAAGCGUGGGGAGCAAACAGG